CAAACCAAAGCUGGCGACCGGCGCACGGGUGAGUAACACGUAUCCAACCUGCCUCAUACUCGGGGAUAGCCUUUCGAAAGAAAGAUUAAUAUCCGAUAGCAUAUAUUCCCGCAUGGGUUUUAUAUUAAAGAAAUUCGGUAUGAGAUGGGGAUGCGUUCCAUUAGUUUGUUGGGGGGGUAACGGCCCACCAAGACUACGAUGGAUAGGGGUUCUGAGAGGAAGGUCCCCCACAUUGGAACUGAGACACGGUCCAA
rnacentral:rRNA from 1 species